rnacentral:rRNA from 1 species
GACGAACGCUGGCGGCGUGCCUAAUACAUGCAAGUUGAGCGCUGAAGGUUGGUACUUGUACCAACUGGAUGAGCAGCGAACGGGUGAGUAACGCGUGGGGAAUCUGCCUUUGAGCGGGGGACAACAUUUGGAAACGAAUGCUAAUACCGCAUAAAAACUUUAAACACAAGUUUUAAGUUUGAAAGAUGCAAUUGCAUCACUCAAAGAUGAUCCCGCGUUGUAUUAGCUAGUUGGUGAGGUAAAGGCUCACCAAGGCGAUGAUACAUAGCCGACCUGAGAGGGUGAUCGGCCACAUUGGGACUGAGACACGGCCCAAACUCCUACGGGAGGCAGCAGUAGGGAAUCUUCGGCAAUGGACGAAAGUCUGACCGAGCAACGCCGCGUGAGUGAAGAAGGUUUUCGGAUCGUAAAAUUCUGUUGGUAGAGAAGAACGUUGGUGAGAGUGGAAAGCUCAUCAAGUGACGGUAACUACCCAGAAAGGGACGGCUAACUACGUG